rnacentral:rRNA from 1 species
UACAGGGGAUGCAAACGUUGCUCGGAAUCACUGGGCGUAAAGGGCGUGUAGGCGGGAAGGAAAGUCAGAUGUGAAAUCCCUGGGCUCAACCCAGGAACUGCAUUUGAAACUCCCUCUCUUGAGUGUCGGAGAGGAAAGUGGAAUUCCUGGUGUAGAGGUGAAAUUCGUAGAUAUCAGGAGGAACACCGGUGGCGAAGGCGGCUUUCUGGACGACAACUGACGCUGAGACGCGAAAGCGUGGGGAGCAAACAGG